rnacentral:rRNA from 1 species
GACGAACGCUGGCGGCGUGCUUAACACAUGCAAGUCGAACGGAGCGAAUGAAAGCUUGCUUUUAUAAGCUUAGUGGCAAACGGGUGAGUAACACGUAGACAACCUGCCGACAGGAUGGGGACAACAUUCCGAAAGGAAUGCUAAUACCGAAUGGAGUGCAGGGGAGGCAUCUCCCCUGCAUGAAAGAUGGCCUCUUUUUAUGCUAUCACCUGUUGAUGGGUCUGCGUCUGAUUAGCUGGUAGGUGAGGUAACGGCUCACCUAGGCGACGAUCAGUAGCCGGUCUGAGAGGAUGAACGGCCACAUUGGGACUGAGACACGGCCCAGACUCCUACGGGAGGCAGCAGUGGGGAAUCUUCCGCAAUGGGCGCAAGCCUGACGGAGCAACGCCGCGUGAGUGAAGAAGGUCUUCGGAUCGUAAAGCUCUGUUGAUGGGGACGAACGUGCCUAAUGCGAAUAGUUUUAGGCAA